GGGUCGUUAGCUCAGUCGGUAGAGCAGUUGGCUUUUAACCAAUUGGUCGUAGGUUCGAACCCUACACGACCCACCA
rnacentral:tRNA from 1 species